ACCUUAGACGUUCUGGGCCGCACGCGCGCUACACUGACGAAGGCAACGAGCUUUCCUUUACCGAAAGGUACGGGUAAUCUUUUGAAACUUCGUCGUGCUGGGGAUAGAUCCUUGCAAUUUUUGAUCUUAAACGAGGAAUGCCUAGUAAGCGCAAGUCAUCAACUUGCGUUGAUUACGUCCCUGCCCUUUGUACACACCGCCCGUCGCUACUACCGAUUGAAUGGUUUAGUGAGGCCUUCGGAUCCGCGACUCGUUUUGUGGAGAAGUUGGACAAACUCAGUCAUUUAGAGGAAGUAAAAGUCGUAACA
rnacentral:rRNA from 1 species